UGGGGAAUAUUGGACAAUGGGCGCAAGCCUGAUCCAGCCAUGCCGCGUGUGUGAAGAAGGCCUUUUGGUUGUAAAGCACUUUAAGCGAGGAGGAGGCUACUUGGAUUAAUACUCUAGGAUAGUGGACGUUACUCGCAGAAUAAGCACCGGCUAACUCUGUGCCAGCAGCCGCGGUAAUACAGAGGGUGCGAGCGUUAAUCGGAUUUACUGGGCGUAAAGCGUGCGUAGGCGGCUUUUUAAGUCGGAUGUGAAAUCCCUGAGCUUAACUUAGGAAUUGCAUUCGAUACUGAGAAGCUAGAGUAUGGGAGAGGAUGGUAGAAUUCCAGGUGUAACGGUGAAAUGCGUAGAGAUCUGGAGGAAUACCGAUGGCGAAGGCAGCCAUCUGGCCUAAUACUGACGCUGAGGUACGAAAGCAUGGGGAGCAAACAGG
rnacentral:rRNA from 1 species